rnacentral:rRNA from 1 species
AGCAGCCGCGGUAAUUCCAGCUCCAAUAGCGUAUAUUAAAGUUGUUGCAGUUAAAAAGCUCGUAGUUGAACUUCGGGGUUUACCCAUUGGUCAGGCUUAAUUGUCUGUACUGGUGAGAUAAAUCUCUACCUUCUGAGGAACUUUCAUGUCAUUAAUUUGGUGUGAUUGGAAAUCAGGACUGUUACUUUGAAAAAAUUGAGUGUUUAAAGCAGGCUAACGUCUGAAUACAUUAGCAUGGAAUAAUGAAAUAGGACGGACUGAUUCUAUUUCGUUGGUUUCUAGGAUCACCGUAAUGAUUAAUAGGGAUAGUUGGGGGCAUUAGUAUUCAAUUGUCAGAGGUGAAAUUCUUGGAUUUUAUGAAGCUAACUACUGCGAAAGCAUUUGCCAAGGAUGUUUUCAUUAAUCAAGAACGAAAGUUAGGGGAUCGAAGACGAUCAGAUACCGUCGUAGUCUUAACCAUAAACUAUGCCGACUAGGGAUCGGACGAAGUUAAUUUUUAAUGUACGCGUUCGGCACCGUU